GUAAGCAAGCGUAGAUAUAUCAAAACAUGGCCAUGGAAGAGAUGAUUACCUAAUGGAUAAUAGAAGUGGAAUGGAAUCUGAUAUGUGAUGAAGCUUUUCCUCCUUACCACGAAAUUCCAAUGCUCCUUUAGGGUUAGGGUUUCAGCUUCUUAAAUAGAGUGGAUUAGGUGUUCUCAUGGGCUUUUUAAUAAGUGAUUUAUCCAUAAGAAUAAAAGUGUGAAGUGAGGUGUAAAAUGUUG
rnacentral:lncRNA from 1 species